GAGGCGUUUCCCGGAAUGAGUGUAAGGAGCGUGGGGAGAGGAACAAAGAGAAGGAAGGUCCCUCAGGAGAGAAGUUGGGCUUCUAGACUUUUCCAUUCACUGUGGAAAGCUUCUCUAUCCGUCAGGGACCCCGAACGAAUUACACUUCCCGUGUCUUUUCUCUUAGCCUGUCAGAGAGGAUUGCCUGGUUUUAGAGAUGAGACUCAUCGAGGUUAGAUCCUUGGAAGGUCACAAAGUAGUUCAUGCUGGAGCUGGAUUCCAGGUAUCAGGUGAGGAAAUGAGUAAAGGAGUAAUUAGGUUGCAGUGGGAAAAAGAGUAUUCCGUGCCUACUUAGAAUGUUACAGUGGCCAUUUUGGUCUCCUUUUGAGCUUUGCAACCGAGAAACAAAGAAAUCUUUAAAGAGUCCAAGGCUCCACCCCUGGAAGUCCCCCCCUCCCGCCACCCAGUUUCCCAGUCUGAUCACCCCUGCAACCGCAAGUGGGAUGCCCUCUCUUGGUGGUUGACUCAUUGAGUAUUUUAUGCACCUACUGAGUUGCUUAUGAGAAUAGGAGACCUGUGAUUUAUUCUGUGAACUCUCUGCUGGAGUUGUGUGCCCCGGCACAGGAACUGUUAUGUGACCCUUAUCUUGAUAACCCUUGAGAAGAGGCCAUGAAGGCGAGGCCUGAUCUCCUCUUUUCCUUUCUUUGUCUGUCUCAUUCGUCACCUCCUCUAUUGCCACCAAGUUGAGGUUAAGUUCAGGCUGCACCUGAGCAGAACCUGGACCUUCUGUAAAAUUGAAAACUUGAAACUCUUUAGCUAGGUACUUAACUCUCAACCCCAGUGCUGUGAGCCCCAGGCCUCAGCCAGCACCAGGCCUUUGCCUCCUGCUUCCCUGGUUCGCCUUGUGCUGGCUCAGGGACUAAGUGCCCAGGCUGAGUGAGACUUGACUAAAUCUUAUCACUAUAUUGAUGACCACAGUCAGGGCUCUGCACCCUUCUUCGGGCCCACUAAUAGUUGGAUACGAGCUUUACCACCAUGGGGAAUGCCCCAAGCAUCCCCAGAGACUCACCCCUUGGGUGCAUUUUAACUAAUAGGAAACACUUUCAGUUGGAUAGAUUAUGCCCCAGAAACUCCAUCUUGGAGAAAAUGUGAGCGGCUUCUUCAUUCCUUUAUGAUGUAGUUGGAUAAGUAGAUCAACCCAUAAUGUCAUUUGAGUUACAACCC
rnacentral:lncRNA from 1 species